GACAGAGGUCCCGAGCGUUAGGCGGAAUCACUGGGCUUAAAGCGUGUGUAGGCGGAUGCCUAAGUACCUUGUGAAAUCCCACGGCUCACCCGUGGAACUGCUUGGUAUACUGGGUGUCUUGAGCCACUUAGGGGCUACCGGAACAAAUGGUGGAGCGGUAAAAUGCGUAGAUAUCAUUUGGAACGCCAAUGGUGAAAACAGGUAGCUGGGAGUGUGCUGACGCUGAGACACGAAAGCCAGGGGAGCAAACGGG
rnacentral:rRNA from 1 species